UACAGGGAAUAACUAUUUAAAACUUAAAAAUUAAAAUUAUUUUAAUUUGUGAAGAAACAAUUAUUAAAAUUAAGGACAAGAAGACCCUAAGAAUUUUAAAAUAAUUAAUUUCUUAUAAGAAAUUAAUUAUUUUUAGUUGGGGCAACUAGAAAAUAUUAUAAACUUUUUAUAUAAUAAAAUGACCCAUUAUUAAUGAUUAUUUGAGAAAAAUACUCUAGGGAUAACAGCGUAAUAAUUUUUGAUAGAACCUAUAGACAAAAUAGUUUGCGACCUCGAUGUUGGAUUAGGAUACUUUUUUAAUGAAGAUGUUAAAAAAAGAAGUUUGUUCAACUUUUAAAGUCCUACUUGAUCU
rnacentral:rRNA from 1 species